rnacentral:rRNA from 1 species
GACAGAGGGAGCAAGCGUUGUUCGGAAUUACUGGGCGUAAAGCGUACGUAGGCGGAUUGUUAAGUGAGGGGUGAAAUCCCGAGGCUCAACCUCGGAACUGCCUUUCAUACUGGCAAUCUUGAGUCCGGGAGAGGUGAGUGGAACUCCUAGUGUAGAGGUGAAAUUCGUAGAUAUUAGGAAGAACACCAGUGGCGAAGGCGGCUCACUGGCCCGGAACUGACGCUGAGGUACGAAAGCGUGGGGAGCAAACAGG